rnacentral:rRNA from 1 species
GACAGAGGAGCCAAGCGUUGUCCGGAUUGACUGGGCGUAAAGCGCACGCAGGCGGGUGCGCGCGUGGGGUGUGAAAUCUGGCCGCUUAACGGCCAGGCGCCAUCCCAUACGGCGGGUCUGGAGCCUUGCAGAGGUCGGUGGAAUUGCCGGUGUAGUGGUGAAAUGCGUAGAGAUCGGCAGGAACACCCAGGGGGGAAACCAGUCGACUGGGCAUCUACUGACGCUGAGGUGCGAGAGCGUGGGGAGCGAACCGG